ensembl:lncRNA
GCCGGGGGCACAAUCGCAGGGGCUCCUGCUGUGAACCAAGGCCUGCGUUACUAGUCACCAGGAUCUGCGGUGGACCUGAGAACAAAGCGCAUCCACCUCCCCUACUCCAGGUCUGGACCAGGACAAGGCCCCAGGAACCACGCCGGCCGCCUGAACUUCAGACCAUGAGUUUGCUGGAGGAUUAAGCCACACAUCCGAUUUUAACUACGGGUCUAGCCAUACCACCAGAUCUGACACCCAGGCUGUAUGAAGUUGGUUCCUCAUGGAAUUGCUUUCAGUGAACUUCCAUUUGUAGUUGGCCAGAAGAUACCUGGGUAUACAGGAUACUUACGGAAGGCUUCUCAGAAGAGGUGACUCUUCAGUGGAGACCUAAUAAAGACCUUUACAAGCCAUUUGAAUAGCUGGGGGAGAAAAGCAAGUACAAACACCCUUGGCUGGGGUGUCCUUGUCCGGUGAGUUAGUGAAAAUGUAACAGUUAAUGGAUGGCGUCACCAACUCAGUGGACAUGGGUUUGGGUGGAC